AAUAAGAAGUGAUAUUGGUGAGGUUCAAUCUGAUGGUAUUUCUACGGUUGAAUCGUAAUCUUAUCUCUGAUUGAGCCGUGCCAAUAUCACUCUAAUUCCA
rfam:Zostera marina strain Finnish scaffold_54, whole genome shotgun sequence.